UUUUGGGAUAGAAUAAAGAAAAAUAAAAGAAAAUAAUAAUAAUAAUAAUAAUAAUAUUAUUUUCUUUAUUCAUAGGCCUCGUGAAGCGUGCAUCGUAACUAUUCACCAUCUUCUUCCUCAAGAAACUCUAACCCCUCAAACACUAGAAAUCAAGAGCCGUCGUCGUCGUCGUCAUUCUCCUCCAUCUGUCGUUUCCCGUCGCUUGACUCACCGAUUGUCUCUGUUCGACAGCCACCACGAAACGCCAUCGACCGCCAUGUCUCCUGCAUCGUAACCAGUCGUCUUUUGCCGUGUCGUUCCAUCGAGUAGUAGCCAUUGAUGAACCUUUAGCUGCCGUUAUCGACGAACGUCAGACUAAGCUGAGUUGCCCUCUGAGUUGUGUGUGAGUGUGGGAGCCGCUUCUUCCUCGGUCGUUCACCCGAUCUGCACAAGUCGUCUACCCGAUCUACGUAAGCAGUCAGCCGAGCUGCGUUCAGCCUCAGAUAUGAGCCAUGCGUGCAAGCCACCUAAGUUAUCCGCGUUGCCUGAGUCGAUUCGUCCUCCCAAGUUGCUAAGAUAGAGACUUGAGAAGCUGGCGAGCGGCAGAACGGGAUUCGUGGCAUGUCAUAUGGGGACACAGUUAGCUUCCGCAUCUAUUUAUAUGUUUUUCAAUAUUUUUAAAUGUUAAACAUUUUACCUAAGACAUCCAACCAAAAACUUAGAAAAUACUAAUUCCUAACGUCGUAUACGCCCCUACUCCUAAUGGAUGUUCCACAGUAUGGAGUUUCUUCCAUCAAACAAAUUUUGGGAUGAUCUCCCUAUGCUUGUCAGAAGAUCUUUAUUCAAAUUA